rnacentral:lncRNA from 1 species
CCAAGACAGACAUCAUGCAAGAUUCCUGAUGCAUGUGAAGCAGUAGAAUGCUGGGAUGUCUAACCUGAGGGUAACAGGCUACUUUCGCCUGACUGGAUACCUGCUGAGACCUGCAGUGAAGUGAAGGAGAAGAAGGGAGAGCGUUGAAGUGAUCAUGCAACAGGAGACAAGGAAUUCAGAAAAAAAGGUAACACGUUUCUUUUUCUCAACAAAAGAAUUUACAUUUUUUCAUGACCUUUUUCAUCAAUUUGUUCCUGAUGACUGAAUGGUAUUGUUUCUGCAUUUCAAUUUAUGCUUUUUAGAAAUGCCAAUGUAUUCAUGUUCUGGGUUUACCUCUGCAAAUUUUAAUCGAUUGAUCACUGAGAGAGAGGUCAUGCUCCUGAUAUCUGCGGCACACUUUAGGUAGAUCUAUCUGUCUUUUUCAUGGAGUUAACACACGACUGAGGCAGGCACCUGUUUACAUAAUUUCCUUGAAAUCUAAUAGAAAUGUACUUUUUUAUCCUUAAUAACCAAUAAUGUUUUGAAAAGAGAUUUACUGUGAUGCAGCGUUUUUUAGUUGGCUUUCUCGGGUCUUAUUUUGGGAUGUUUAAUUCUAAUUUAACAUGAGAAUUAAGAUGUUAAUGCUACAGACGCACUUUAGAUGAGUGUAAAUGAAAAGCAAAUGAUUGCAUCUGACAGAAAUCUGUCUUUGAGAAAGGAUUGCUUCCUCUCUGUAAACUUCUGCUCUUUAAAAUGCACAGCUGGCACUUCACCAGUCCAUACAGCACGUCUUUUGUGCCUCCAACAAAUUGCAAAGAUUAUGCCACCGCAGAUUUCACUGCUCCUCUCCUGCAGAUCCUUUGGCUUACCUGUGUCUGAAGUAACAUCUGUUCGCUCUUUCUUAUUUGGAGUAGACGGUCACAGAUGUCCUUCCAUGUCUUUGCAACUCAGUUUGAUGGUGUAUGAGUAAUAAGAUCCACUAAAACUGAUAGUGUGAUCAAAUAUUAUCCUUUACCGAUUGUACAUUAUGAAAUUUCUGAUUGCUCACCAUAAUUUUAUGCCAGAUCCAAAAAUUGGCUGCAAAUUAUUCCCAGUUAAACAACCAAGGUAAGGUUUUGGAAUAUUUUUAUAUUACUUAAUAUAUUCAAUUUUAAUUAACCACAAAUGUAGUGUAGUGCUUAGACCACACUGCUUAGUGAUUUUCUUCACCUGACCUUAAGUUUUAUAGAGUUUGCUCAUUAUAGAGCAGAGAGAGGGGUGCAUUGCAGCUCUUGAAGUCAUGAAACCGAAUUAAAGAAAUGACCAAUUGUGUUCAGAUUAUUUUUGUCAUUGUUAUUAUUCAGCCAAUGUGAUUCUUAAAGUGCAUAAUCCUGCCCCUGUUCAACGUACUUAACACUAAAUAAAGGAAAAACCUUAUUGCACUGCUACAGGUCACAGAGUGGGAUUAGUCACAGCACUGACUGCACAGUGCACAAAGUAGCUCUGGGGGCACUUUCAUUUAAGAAAGCUUAUAAUUUUUGCAUGAAAUGUUUUGUUUUCAAGUUAUGUUUCAACAACAUGACAAGAAAAUAUAGUGAAACCAAAGGUGCCUGCAGUCCGUUUGUUGCCAGCGUCAUUCAUUGGCACAGUGGGUAUAUCUGCUGCUGAUGAACAUCUAUACUGCAAUUCGGUUUAAAUAACAGUUUGAGAUUUGAAAGUGGUUCAAGUAAAUUACUUCAAAUUCUGAUUUGACGUCAGUGACAACAGGUCAAUGAAUAAUUCAGUAUUUAGCUCCAGUAAGCAGGCAAAAAUGCCUCACACACAUAAACCUACUUCAACUGGAGAGUCAGUGUCCAUAAGUGGUUUAUGCAAAAAUAUUUGUUUUGUUUAGUUUUGUAUUUUGCUGGUAUUGCAGUCUUUUCCCUACUUCCUGUUAUAUCACAUCGUUUACCUUGUGUUUAAUACGUUUCUUUAACACUUUUGAACCUAUUUAUACCUGAUUGUUAUUGGAUCCUGUUCCAUGUUCUGAGUGUCUUCUGUCUGAUUUUGUUAUCCUAUUCACCAGUGCGUCAUAACAUCUAGUUUUGUAUUCCCUCCUUCUUGAUUACCCUGAUUAGUUUCCCUUGUGUCUUGUGUUGCACCUGUUUGAUUGCUUCAGUUGUCCCCAUAUUGGACUUUUGAGCUUUGACUUGAGUAAAUUUUGUGAACCUUUUGCCCCCUUGUUAAUUGAGUUCCUUGGUUUUGUCUGUGUCCUUGGGUCCUUUAAUACAAUGUGACAGUCUUGUCUUCACCUUUACUUGAAGGGACCAUGUAUAAGUCUCAGAUCAACACAGUAAGCGGCUAAAAUGGUUAAUUCAUAGUUUGAGGAACUUCUUAGCAAUAGUUGAAUUAUCAGCUGAAGUUGGCCUCUGUUGAGAAAACUAGUCAUAGAACCAAAUCAUACUGCUGCAGACAGGGUCAACUCUACUGUUGAAUUUUUAAAAGUCAAACCAACAUUAAUGUUGGUGUUACUGUACAUUGUACACUAUUCAGGAAAAAAAAUAAUCUCUUAAAUUUGCUGUUAGAAAAACUAUUCAUUUCUGUAGAGGAAAAAUGAGGCCAAGUAGAGGAGGGGAGAAACUCUUCUGCUGAAUGGAGAGUAGAGGAGAUACUAAAUUAUGUGGUGGUGCAAAGUGGGCGAGCUGCUGCUGUUGUGGGAAGGACUUAGUGAUGUCAGUGGUAGGGCUGCACUGAUAUGGGUUUUUCAUGGCCCAUAGCAAUACUAUUUAUGACUAGUCAUGAUAUUAGACAACUGAUAUUUGAAACCAAUAUGUGCUGAUAGUUAAAAGGAAUACAUUUUGGGGGCAUGCAGAUGGCCGAGUGGGUUAGCGUGCCCCAACUUGGGGACCACAGUCCCCGCAGCAGUCGUGGGUUUGAGUCCAGCCCUGACCUUGUGCUGCAUUUCCUCCCCCCUCUCCUCUCUCUAUCUCCCCACACUUUCUACCUGUCCCAUCAAUAAAGGCAAAAACUCGCCAAAAUAAUUAAUCAAUAAUUAACUCAAGCAUAAAAAUAUGCAGUCGUGUUUUAAGUGCUUAAAAUGAUCACUGCAAAAAUACCAUCAAUGUCAGAUGUUUUUUCGUCUCUGCACUCUCUGCCCUCGAAGUUGAAAAUAGUUUAACCUCUGUGCCGUCCAAGAGAGAGAUAGAGUGAACAAACAAAAGUAGACAACUGUCAUAACUUCAAUGUUAGAGUGAUUCUCAUCAGCUUCACUGUGGUGAAGUUGAAGUUGUGCUUCCCCAGGAAAUCUAGUAAGAAGGUAGUAGAGUAUAUAAAAACACACAAACAAAAAACAGUCAUAACGUUAAUAGUUACUGUUCAUUAUGUCCAUUAUUUCUGACCUGUAUUACCCCCCCCCCCCAACAUAAAAGGGUUGUAAAGAUGUUUUCUUUUGUUGCUUCCCCACAGCUGGAUUGAACCUUUUAAGCCAAUAUCUACUUACAGGGAUCCAAUUUCAUUUAUUUAAUUAAUAUAAUUAUAUAAAAGAACACUUCAUUUUGCAAAAGCUUGAGAUAUAAAAUAUCUCUUGAUAUGAUUUGCCAUGAGCAAGAUCCACACGUAUAUGCACUUUUGCUUUGAUCGUAGUAUUUUCUGAAGUUUCCCUCGAUUUCAUUCCAACUGAAGUUUCAACGUAGACCGCCAUUCAGUGGUUAAGAUGUUGCUCUGGCCUCGCGAAUAAAAAAGAAAUCUCUAGAUUAAUUAAAGAAGACAGAAAUUGAUUCAAUGGCCAUACAAAAGCAUAAACUGUACAUACCAGUUGUAAAAGGAUCACUGAUACAUCAAACACUCUGCUGUGCAUCAUAAGGCAUCAAUCAGUCACCAGUAAAUGCUGCCUUUCAUCUUAGAAACAGCUCGGUAAUAGCGUUGUAUUCACCUUGUAAAGAGGAAAAAAAACUUUUUCCCAGACUCUGAAGAUUUGGCCUGAGGGCAUCCCCAACCAUUUUCCCUUUUCUUUUUUAGAGACAAUCUAUGCAUAUGCCCAUGCCCAGACAUACACUUAUGGCCAUGCACACAUGGCCUCACACACGCACAGAGAGAGGGAGAGAGCGAGAUAGAUAGAUAGAGAGGGAGAGAGAGAGAGAUACAAACAGGACACAAAUCCUUCUGGCCUCCCAGCCUGGCUUUCUCUCUCCCCGCUGUGCUUGAUCAGGCGUCUUCCGUUCAUCUGCAGAACACAGAGAAAUGGCUAUGGUCCCAUGUAGGCUUGUUUUCAUCCUGCCUUUUCCAUUUUAAGCCCCAGAACACCACUGAAAAGGCAGCUUCACUCUGACAAACUCUUUUAGGUGUCCAUCUACUUACUUGUUAGUCUGCCUGGCCAGCCGCCUGCAGGUCUAGCAGCAAUCCCAUCAGUGGCUUCUGUCUCUCGUCAGAUUGAAGGCCUCACCCUGGGACGCCAUAUCGAUAGGGGAACAACUGGUCCUUGGUUUUUGAUGAUGGAGAGAGAAACUGCUGGACGAUUUCUAAUAAGACGAGAAAGGACUGAAACUGGUGUUUUAGGGCUUGUUGAAGUGAGAUAGAAGGCGCAGGGGAUAAAAUGUAAGGUAGGGAACCACCAAGACGGAGAUGGAAAUAUGAUCUGCUUAGUCUUUGAAGUAGGACAGUUUGAAACUGCUCUGUUGGUACCAGAAGACCAUUUAAAUCGACAAAUAAUUGGACUUGCAGUUGUUGCCUCUGUGGAUCCAAUGAAAGUACACAGUCAGUAAGCACAGAUUUGCCGAGAUCGGACUAAACACUACUGUGUGUUUGCUGUUUGUCAAAUUGGGGUCAAAUAUAACCAAGAGCUAAAAUAACAUUGAGGUAAAAGCACUUGUUUUAAACAACGAAAGACAGAGAUUAAUGAUAUGAACAUUAACCAAUAAUUGCACUCUGUGUAAAGGCCUCAAAUCAUUAAACGCUCUGUAAACUUUACUGUAAACUUAACAAGCCUAGAAGCUGGAUUUAUUAGACAGGGUCUAACCAGGGGUCAGGGUUAUAGUCUAGAAACUUGCUGUAUGAUACAAAUUGUCUGUCACACUGAUGUACAACAAGCAGUCAGUUUCUGCAGGGGAAAGGGUUUGUGUUGUCUUUCUACUUUAAGAAUUUAAUUGCUUUCAAAAAGUCCAUAAUAAUGUACAGUUUGUGUGCAACUGUGAAGCUCUUUCUAGUACAAUCUGUUUUCACUACCCAGCUAGCUACCAGAACUGUAGUUGAGCGUCUCUAGUCUUGAUAUACAGAAAUGCUGAACAUGUUCUUGAGCAUGAACCAUAAGACAGACCCACUGCCUGUGACCAAUCUACUAAAACUUGUAUAACCAUCUUCAACUUUGUUGUCUUAUGCAGCUGAGAAGAUCAAAUUAUGACGUGAACUUGUCCUACUCCCCAAAACUGGAGGGAAAUAUGGGUCUUUUCAGCGGCGCUGUUUCAACAACAACAGCAGGUCCGUGCCAGACAUCAGAAGUGGCUACAACUGCUGCUGGGCAUUUUCGAGCAAGAAGAUGAAGCAUCUUACAGCGUUGUUUUUGUCAUACAUGAUGUACGCACUACUUUUUCUUUAAAUGAUAG